rnacentral:lncRNA from 1 species
GAAUUCAGUGUUCAUGCCAGAGUUAGAUAAGUUCGUGGUGGUAUUCAUUGAUGACAUUCUCAUCUAUUCCAAAACUAAAGAAGAACAUGAAGAGCAUCUCAGGAUAGUGUUAACUCGCCUGAGAGAACAUCAAUUAUAUGCUAAGUUUAGCAAGUGUGAAUUCUGGAUAGAUGAAGUUCAAUUUUUGGGUCAUGUCCUGUCAGCUGAAGGUGUUGCAGUAGACCCAAGCAAAGUUCAAGAAGUUCUUGACUGGAAGUCACCAACUUCAGUACAUCAAGUUCGGAGUUUCUUAGGAUUGGUGGGGUAUUAUCGCAGGUUUAUCCCUGACUUCUCCAAGAUCUCUAAACCAAUGACAACACUGCUAAAGAAUGAUACCAAGUUUGUGUGGUCAUCCGAGUGUGAAGAAGCUUUUCGGACUUUGAAAAAGUUGUUGACCACUGCACCAGUGCUAGCUCAACCUGAUAUUGAAAAAUCUUUUGAUGUGUAUUGUGAUGCUUCAGGCAAAGGCAUCGGGUGUGUACUAAUGCAAGAAGGCAGAGUCAUUGCAUAUGCUUCACGACAACUUAAGCGUCAUGAAGAGCAUUAUCCAACCCAUGAUCUAGAGUUGGCAGCUGUAGUCCAUGCUCUGAAGAUCUGGCGACAUUAUCUAUUGGGCAAUACUUGUCACAUAUAUACUGAUCAUAAGAGUUUGAAAUAUAUCUUUACUCAGUCAAAGUUGAAUAUGCGUCAGAGAAGAUGGUUAGAACUGAUAAAAGAUUAUGAUAUUGAGGUACAUUAUCACCCAGGCAAAGCCAAUGUAGUGGCAGAUGCACUCAGCCGAAAGAGCCAUUGCAAUUGUCUGGAAGUUAAGCCGAUAAACCUUACCUUGUGUUAUGAAUUUGAAAAGUUAAGUCUUGAAAUGAUUCCACAAGGAAGUCUUGCAAAUAUGACAGUUCAGUCAUCUAUCAAAGAUCAAAUUAUUACAGCCCAACAAGAAAAUAAGGGUAUAAUCUUUUUGAAAAGAAAGGUUCAGUCUGAACCAAAUUCUAAGUUCAGAAUAGAUGAAGUUGGAGUGAUUUGGUUCAAGGAUCGUUUAGUAGUUCCAAAGGUCCCUGAACUCAGAAAACAAAUUCUUGAUGAAGCUCAUGCAACAAAACUUUCAAUCCAUCCAGGUAGUAAUAAGAUGUAUCAUGAUCUAAAACAAAGAUUCUGGUGGACUAAGAUGAAGCUUGAAAUUGCUAGUUAUGUGGCUAGAUGUGAUACUUGUCAAAAGGUGAAAGCAGUUCAUCUUAGGUCUGCGGGAGAAUUGCAACCAUUGCCAAUUCCAUCUUGGAAAUGGGAUGACAUUAGUAUGGACUUCAUAGUGGGUCUACCCAGAACCUCGAGAGGGUUUGAUUCCAUAUGGGUCAUUGUUGAUCGUCUGACCAAAUCGGCCCAUUUCAUUCCAGUAAGAAAGGAUUAUCGAGCUUCUGACUAUGCUAAGAUAUACUUUAACAGAAUUGUGAGUCUACAUGGUGUUCCAAAGACUAUUGUAUCUGAUAGAGGGACACAAUUUGUGAAUGCUUUCUGGAAGCAUUUGCAUAAGUCCUUAGGUACCAAACUUCUGCAUAGUACAGCUUAUCAUCCACAAACUGGAGGUCAGACUGAAAGAGUCAACCAGAUCUUGGAAGAUAUGUUAAGAUCUUGUGUGCUCAGUUAUUCAGAGAAGUGGCACGAAUGUUUGCCUUUAGCAGAAUUCUCUUAUAAUAAUAGUUAUCAAGAGAGCAUUAAGAUGGCACCAUUCGAAGCUCUAUAUGGCAGAAGGUGUAGGACACCUUUGAAUUGGUCCGAACCUGGAGAACAUAGUCUUUUCGGGGUUGACUUAGUCAGAGAAGCCGAAGAGAAAGUCAGGCUCAUUCGAGAGAAUAUGAAGAUAGCACAGUCGAGACAAAAGAGUUAUGCUGAUAAGAGACGCCGGUCUCUUAGCUUUGAGGUUGGUGAUUAUGUAUACCUCAAAGUAUCACCUAUGAAAGGAGUCACUCGAUUUGGAGUAAAAGGAAAGUUGGCACCUCGAUAUAUAGGUCCGUAUCAAAUCCUUGAAAGAUGUGGGAAGGUGGCAUAUCGUCUAGAUUUACCACCACAGUUGUUAUCAGUACACAAUGUGUUCCAUGUCUCUCAAUUGAAGAAAUGUCUCCGAGUGCCUGAUCAUAUCAUUCAUGUUGAAGAAAUUGAGUUAAAGCCUGAUCUGACAUAUUCAGAGUAUCCUAUCAAGAUUUUGGAUCAAAAAGAUCGAGUCACUCGUAGAAGAACUAUCAAAUACUACAAGGUGCAAUGGAAUCAACAUACCGAAGAUGAAGCCACGUGGGAAUCCGAAGAGUUUCUCUUAGAAAGUUUUCCUGAGUUUCUUUCUUCUGUCUUAUCCUUGUAAUCUUUAGUGUUAUGAUCUACCCCUGUUUUUGUAAAGGUUGGUUUUAGAAGUGCUUGACAAACUUCCUUUUCUAUUAGUUAGACUUUAAGGUAAAUCUCGGGACGAGAUUUCUUUAAGGGGGAAAGAGCUGUAACACUCUGGUGUUAAGCGAACUAAAACAUGACAUGUCAUCAUGAGCAUUGCAUCAUAAAUUCGUUAAGCACACACUAAUGCAUUAACUUAAAAUAAGUUUAAAUUGGAUGAAUGUGUUUAGGAAGUAAAGUGUGUUUAUUUUAUGUAUGGAUGUUUGUUUUGGAGUUUAAAAACCUUGGGUGAAAGUUUUUCCGAAAGGCUUAGGGGGGAAACCCUAGUUUUCAAAACCCUAGAUUUGUCCCCUUUUGUGUAAUUUAAAAACUAAGCAAAAUUUGAAGUUGAGUUCAAAAGCAAAGUUGUAGAUCUUGUCAAGAUGUACAACUUUGGUGUUUUGAGUUUUUGAAGUUUCAGUACAAAAUUCAAAGUAAUUUUGAAAAUACAGAUUUCCGAAAAGUGUCCCCUUUUCAAACUUAAAUCUCCAAUUCAAAAUCUGUUUGGAAUUUUGAAAAGUGGUCAACAUGAAAGUUGUAGAGCUUGAAAAGUUGAACAACUUUCAUGUUGGGAGUUUUUCAAGUUGUUAUGCAAAAUCAAAAGUAAUUUUAGAAAUUCUGUUUUGCCCUAAUUCAAAAAUUUGGGAUUAAGCUUGAAUUUCAAACUGUUUGGCUCAAAUUCAUCCCUUUCCAUUUCAAAUUUGUCUUUGGUCACUAAAGAUGUUUUGUAGCAUUCAAAAUUCUGAGCAUUUGAUAUUUUGACAUAUUUUUAUCUUCUAUUCAAAAUCUCAGAGUAAUUUUAAGUUUUCAGAAAGGGUAUUUUGGGGAAAAGGGGGAUAAGCUCGGUCCCUGUUCAUGGCGGUGUACCGCCGAGCGUCGAUCGGCGUUUGCCGACUCGUGAACCGCCGUUUCAUCUCGUCCAAGCACGUACUCGCGUCCGUGGCAAAGUGGAGCAGCUGCUGGCGAAGUGGAGCGCGACGUGCCCUUUUCUCCCGCGAGCACCGACCUCCUUUCCGCCACCGGAGCACCGAGGAGCAGUACCCCGUCCUCAUCCAAAUUGGCCGUGCUCGAUCAUCCUCGUAUCAAAUUGAGCCAUCCACGAUGUUCGCCAUCUCCUUGCGAAUCCAGAACACCACCAAGCUCGCCCCAUAACCCUCUCAAUCGCAGAAACACCUCCAUCCUCUCCAUCUCCGGCCAGAACUGCCGCCGUGGGGCUCUUACCGUGGCCACGGUGUUCUCGUCGGUAUCACGUUUCCCUGGCAGCUGUUUCGGGUUCCUCUUGUGUUCUAGUAGCUCAUGCUCUCUCUCUUUUGCUUUGGGCACGAACAGAAUCGCCGGGACGAGCUCGCCGGAGCCGGAGCGCCCGCCCGAUCGCACUGUCUCCGUCGCCAACAACUUCAGCUACUUCUCCCACCGUGGUGACGUGAGCAUCGUGUUCCCUACACCACCUUGAACCUCCCUACGCCAUUCGUUUGCUCUCUACCGGGUCCUAGUGGCCGGCCGACAGUCGGCCAUGGCGACCGCCCGCUCCUAUCGUGGCCGAGGUGGUAGCAGUGAGGUAGAGCGUCCGCGAGUGGUACCAAUGGAGUCGCGGAGUUGAGGCGGAGCCGAUGCGCGCGCGCGCGGAGGCCGAGGGCCUCGCUAUCGGUCGCCGGAGUUGCGGCCGAGCCGCCGUGCGUGAGAGAGAGAGAUCUGACGGGUGGGGCUACCCUGUCAGUGGCUGAGAGAGAGAGAGAGCGCGCGGGCGUGCGCGGCGCGGACGCGGGCCGGGAGCAGUGGGCCGGUCUGCGGCCCAGUUUCGAAGCAACCCACUGCGCAGUGUCUUUUUUUUUUUUUUCUUUUGUGCAGUUUUUUGCUUGAUAUUUGAAAAUUGUGUAUUAAUUUGUGUAGUGAUCCAAAAAUAGUGAAACUUUUUGUAUAGCUUACAUAAAAUGGAUAGAGCCUAAGAAAAAUGUUAGGUUUGAUUUUCUGGUAAUUUUCAUGUAUACAUAAAUUGCCUUUGUUUAUUAAUGAAUAAACCUUCCUUGAUUUUUAAUAGUUCAUAGGUAUAUCCAAAAAUCAUGAAAUUUAAUAUGUGAGCUUGUGUUAAUGUUAUUUAGCUCCAUGAUUAAUUUCAGCUCUGUUUGAUCAAGUAUGCUCUGUUUCUUGAUAAAGCUAUUUAAAAUGCUUAUAAAAGAAAUAGAAAUAAUUAAUACCUUUAGGAUUUGGGUGAUAUUUUGCAUUGUUUGACAACCAUGGUUACUUAGCAUGAUAUGCUCCCUGGUUAUGGUUUAUUUUCAUGUAAAUAAUCUUUAUGGUAUGAUAGAUUCACAAUUAUUGCUUAAUAAAAAUAAUAAAGUUGGUUUAGAAGUGAUUUAUGCUUUGAUAGUUAGCUUUGUUUGUUUCUUUACCAUGAAGGUAAAGUGUACUCGAGAUAAUCAUAUUUUGUUAUAUCAUCCAAGAACAUGUAACUUGUCUUUAUCAUGCCUUGAGUAUAUCAUAAUCAUGCAUAUGCACUUUUACGUAUAGAGUACGCUCCGGAAGAAUCUGAUCCCCAGUGGGUUUCUUCCGAGUUUGUGGAUCCUUUGGGUGUUGUUGAGUUGUCGAACGUCCCCUCCGACCAAGGCAAGCCCCGGACAUUAAACCCUAUUCUUGUAUUUUCAUAAAGUUAUUUAUAUCACUUGAGUUAAUAUGAUGCAUUAGGUGAAUAGGAGUUGAGUGAAUCCUAUUUGCUGCAUUAUCUACUUUGAUGAUUUCCAUAUUAACCUUGAUACCUGCUUUAUGAAAAUGCUUAGUAUGCUUAGCCCUGCUUAUUAGAUAAGUUUUCAAAUGAAAGAGUUUGAAGGGUUGUUGUGGAAUACUUUUAUGGUUAAUAAUGUUUAAACUUGAGACCGGUCGGUGGACUUGCUUUAAGAAUGGAGUCUUAAAGUAGUGUCUCCAACUGAGUCGAUUAAGGACCGUACCGUUGAUUGGCCUGUUGUGAUUGAGACCUUUGAGUACAGCCCACAUGCGCUGGUAAGCCUUACCUAUAGCUAUUCCGAUACUUGAGAACGGCUAACCGCGUACUGGGAGUGGAAAGAUGGCGAGAGUAGCGUGUACCCACCUUACGGAUCUGAGAUGACCGGGAAACAUCUAGAUUGGCCGUAGGAUGGUGGUGUACUGUACUCUCGGGUGACGCUGGACCCGUUCUUGUAUGGGAGGAUCUAUAGAAAAGGUUGACAUAUGCAAGAUUAAGUUCUACAUAUGUCGUGUGGUACUGAAUCCCCAGCUGGGUUUAAUCGAUUCGAAUCGCCGUGUUUCCUCGGAUAUGGAGUCUCAAUCCUCGUACCAUCAUCGUAGUAAUAAGUGAAUCUUGGUAUAAGAAAGAUAUGGUUUACUUAUGAAAGUUUGAUAAUAGUUUUGAUUAGUCAUAAAUGAUAAUCCUGAGUUAAAACUUGAAAGUAGGUUUUACUCUUAGUAAGCUUUUAUGCAAAAAGAAAUGCUUUGAUCUUGUUAAAGCUUUACCUUGAAUCCCUAUAGCCUGCAUACCUGAGUCUUCACCUCUUUUAUAGUCGGUUAAGUCUUGUUGAGUACUUUUGUACUCAGGGUUUCUUAACCCAUGUUGCAGGUGAGUCUUUUGAUAAUCCUUUUGAUGGUCAUGGUUACUUUACUCUUGUGGAGGAGAGUGACGAUGAGGAUCCUGAUGUGUGACCUUGGGCAAGUAAAAACUUAUUGUGUGAUCUAUGGUUUAUGUAAUAUAAAGUUCCGAAGCUUUUAUGUAUCAAAUACUUAUGGUUUGUAAACUAUGAACUUAAGUUUCAAUCUAUGUUAUGUAACCUUUCCGCUUUUACUCUGAUUUCUCUUAUCUAUGAAAUGUUGUAAUACUGCGAUGCUUGAUGAGGGAAUUCCUGAAAAGAAUGUUACGUGGAUGAUUCGGGUUUCCCGAGGACACCCGACAGACUUCUUGAGUCAUUUGGAACUCGUGCACGUCGAUCAGAAGUCUUUGGGACAAUGAUGUGUGCAUGUGGGCCACUUAAUUCAGGAGGUUCUGCCACAGCGAACCACGCCUACCACCAUCCUACUUACGCUUUUAUCUUCGCUUCACGUAAAUAGGAUGGUGGUAGGUCGGUUCGCUCAGCGUGUAGAUUAGAUCUAAACAGUUUGGACUCUAGGGUGUUACAAAUGGUAUCAGAGCCGACCUUCAUGACCACGCGUGCGGGUCAGAGCGCGGACAUGGGGUUCAUUGUGCAUGUAGGCCCCCUGCGGGAUGCACGACAUGACACAUGUGUUGGCACUGGACGUACGGUCGUGUGUACUAAGAGGGAACGUUCCUAGUCAUCAUUUGCCCGAUUGUGGGUAUGUUGAGUCGACGAGGAUGUCGGGUCCUUUGAGGGGGGUGUUUGUCACACCCAGCCUAAUUUGAAAUUUGGCCUGUGAUGGCUCAUUUGCAUAUUAUAAGAUAAUUAUGGAGGGUUUAGUCUCACCUUGGUUGUUAAGAGUGAGUUUUAGACCAACAUAUAAGGCUUCUAAAGUCAAUCCCAUGAUAUUCGCGUUAAUCCUUUUACACGAAGCGAGAACGAAAACGUAAGUAGGAAGGUGGUAGGUGUGGUUCGUUCAACGUGUAGAGUGGAUCUAAACCGUUUGGACUAAUCUAUUCGUGAGGUACGGUGACUUCACACUAAAUAUUGAUGACCUUGAUGGAGCGGGGCUAAAAUGGUACUCGAGCAACGACACAACAAUCACAAUUAUAGUGGAUAUAUUAUUGUGACCGAAGUACAAUAGUAACAAAGACCUUCGAUGGAACACACGAUGCACAAAAUUAAAUAACAAAGACCUUCUGAGUAUGGAGCUACCCGAUGCUCAGGGAAAAUAUACCUACACUCGAUGCCAGCAGAACCCGUUGGGCUCAAAGCUCUUGGCGGAGAACUUCUAUACACGCAUGGAGCUCUCUCUCUCAGAUCCGUUGGAUCAUCGGUGCUUGAAUCUGAAACAAAGCACAGGGGCAUGUUAUAAGUCUUCUACGGAUUCUAUAUAUCAAUAUGACACUUAAGUGAUAGGAGUUUAGCAUCAUGGUCUGUGGUGCCGACCUUGAUGCCAUAUAGAUAUUGCCGUCCACCUCGGCACCCUAGAUCAUAGCGCCAAGGUGGGGAACUAAAAUUUGCACGUGUGCCAUCCCAGGCCGUCAGCCCUUUCUUCCUCCCUAUCCUCUCAUCAUGAGUUUAUUUGACCAUGAAAUAAGAUUGAUGUGUGCUUGAUUACUAUUACUGUGUUUUAGGAUUACAGUGUACUUCAUUCAUUUUGUAAUAUAGUGCAUUCUAGCAUUUAAAAUUUAUCCUCAAAUAAUAUAAUACAUUUUAGAGGACAACAACCAAUUCUACAUUAAAUACUUUUUAUUUUAUCAACCAAUCAUAAUCAUGUUGAUGAUAGCGUCUGACUAGGAAUAAAAUCAAGAUAUAUGCGUAUUUUAUGUUCCCUCUUAAUUUGUUUUAAAAUUUUUAGAAUGCACUCAAGAUGGAGGGAGUAGGUCCUUGGUUUAUGGAUUAAUUAUUCGUAGUUGUUCAUUUUGAGAUUAUCCUAUAUAAAAUAUCAGUUUUUUGUAUGAAGUAGAUGGACAAGCUUGUAAGCUUGCAUCACGGAGCUAGGUGGAGACUGGUAAGUAUGGUUAUGUUGUGUUGAGUUUAAUGGAAUGCAAAGGUUUCUAUGGUCUUCAGGACUCGACCAUCACUUAGGUAGUAUGGGCAAGCUUGUAACCUUGCAUGAGCAUUUAGUUCAGGAAACUGUGAGCUAGCUCUGUACAUAGACAUCACUUACUGCAAGCUGCUUUCUAGUCUUUCAUGAUAAACACAAGGGCCGCUUUCUACUUCCACACGAUCUCUUAAAACAUGCAUGCAUGCGCAUAUAUAUGUGUUUGCUCUUAUUACAUCGCUCAACUAGCUGCUCAUACACGACACUCAGUUGGAUCGGAUACUUUCAAAUUGGGCGUGUACCGAGCGGCAUCUCAUCCCCAGAUGACAACUUGCCUCCUGGGCAUUCAAAGGUACACGUGCAUCGUCGGAUAAAAAGGAUCCAGCCUUUGCAAUACCCGCCGAUACCGAGGUCAUGUUGAACGCAUGAGUUCGCACAGUCCUUAUUGCUCACGCAUCGUCCGUGGUAAAAACCAUUAGUCCUCGAGCAGAUAGCUGCUUCCGCACCUACGUAAAAUCAUAAACCGCUCGGUGGUUAAUUUAGGAACAUAUGCACCAUACAUACUCUUGAAAAAAGCUUCAUAGUAAUAUAUAUAUAUAUAGCUCCGAGGUACCGGAGGUAUAUAUGUCACCAAGUGUCCAGAUAGAAGUAGUUUUCCUUUAGUAUUUCAACAAACUUCAUAAGCAGAAAGGUUUGUUUUAGUUUUUACUUACAAUAGGUCACAAGGAGCAAGGCGAGGAUGAAGACAACAGGCACCGCUACAAUCUUGUUAGAUGCCAUGGUUAUUUGGUGUGAGGAAAAGAGCAUAUACAUGUUCAAUAUUUAUAGUGGUUGCUUGAUCUGGCCUGCGAAGGUGACUAUUCAAACUCAAUUCACAAUUUAAGCAUUUGUAGCAGCAUUCGAAUUUUUCCUACAAUUUAAGCAUUAGUAAUAAUUAGUAUCCUUAUUAUAUGUGUCAACAUAAUUUGGUAUUUAGAAAACGAUUAGUGUGUUCUAUUUCUAUGAACUCUGUAAGGGUAGGUGUUAAUUUAAUCUAUACACGCUACAAUCAUUUUUAUUUUAUUAAUCUAUUCUAAAAUCAGAGAAAUGUUUGCAUUUCUAGAUGGAGUAGUUUUUUUCAUUGGCUGUUGGCAGUUACAUUCAGCCGUAUAUAUCUAUUUGUGUAUCCAUCCAUCUACAUCCGGAUCCCUAACAGCAUUGCUUUGGAUUCAAGAAAUAGUGAUGUUACUCGUUUGCUUUCGCUUCACUUUCAAGAUAUGAGAAGUUGUUUAUCUUGUUCCUAGCGAUACUAGAGUUUUAGAGAUUUAUCUUUGAAAACAUAAAAAUCUUACAUGAUGAGCUCCUGUACGAUAAAGCUUGAAUUCCUACCGAAGCCAUAUAUGAUAGAUUAGAAAAAAAAACUUUCACUCAUACAUAUAUGCUACUUGCUUUGCAUUGAGUUUGGUCAAGCUUUGUUGAUGCCUUAUGAGAGGUUCGUCAUGCUUUUGAAAUCAAGACCACGUACACACCACCAUAUAUGCAUUAUUCCUACACUAGGAGUAGGUGCAACAACAUGUCAUUCCAUCUAUAUUAACCUGAAAAUAUUUUACGCCUACACUGGGAGUGAAUAUCAAAAAUAUUUUCUAUAGGACAGCCCCCAAACAUAGCAGCCAUGAUCUUGUUCCCGUUUCCAGAAUGAGAACGAGAACAAAAACUUGGGGUAUUAUUUAUAACAUGGGGACAGGAAUAUUUACGUUUCCGAAACGUGGAACAUGGAAACGGGAAUGUGGAUCAUGUUUCCGUUCCUAGGUUGCUAAGCUGCCAAAUAUUUCUCUAAAUUAUUCCUGCUAUCUCUCAAAAGUUUUGUUAUAAAACGAGACAUGUGGCUAUUGAAAAAGUUAUUUGAAAAAAAAGUACUAAAAAAGAAUGGACAAGUGUCCAAGAUAUUAAACAAUGGAUACUCUGAUACCCAUCUAAAAAGAGAGAGAAGAGAAAGAAUGAUAAAUAAAGAUAGCUCAUAUUUUCUUAUAAAGUUAUUUCUAAGUUCCAAUAGAGAAAUAUGUUUUCAAGGAGCAAAGUAGAAUUAGGAUUAGCCACUAUCUUGAUUUGAUUGUAUGACUAAAUAUGCCUUUGACCACACAUAAUCUUCGAUCAAGAUGGGGUUAGAAUGGAAAAACUAACAAGCGCCAUCAUCAGUGCAAGAUGCUAACAAUAUAAAGCAAUAAGAUGACAAUUCAAGGAGAUAAAUAAAGUGGAUCUAACUCAAUCUUAACCAGGCAAGGGAUUCGUGUCAAAAUCUAUACGAGGUUAGACCUAAGUGAUGCAGUUGUGCGGAUUUUGAUAAGAAUCAAAGGAUAACGUACUAUCAGAAAUCAUAAAAGAUCAAACUUAACUGAGAUAAUCUUACCAUUAACUUAAGCGACGAUAACUAACUUAUACAAAGCUUGCAAGAGGUCAGACUUAACCGAUGCAACCGAACAAGAGAUGAGUCAUGAUGGAUACUCAUAGACAAACCGAAGGUUGGACAUGACCGAUGCAGCUCUGCUCGCCGAAGAACUCAUCAAAAUCUCCUCUACUUCUCUUAAGGGGUGGCCGAAACCGAGAAAGUAUAGGCAAGGUUUUGGGAUUCAAAACGCUAAAAAAUUCGGUGGUCGCUGAAUUUGACGAAAUUCAGAAAUUUCGGACCAGUUUUCAGUUAAGUUGACCAGUCAAUUUUUUUGUGUUUACCCAAAUUUUGACCGAAAUUUGACUGAAUUGUAACAAAUUUUGUCCAAUUUUUUUUUAUAAAAAAGAGAACAGAAAAGAAAUCUGUUAAAAACGAUGAAGCAAUGUACCAGGCUUUGAUCAAGGCUUUAAAACAAUUAAUACUUCAAUAGUUUUCAAACACAUAGGCUACAGCCAACACAAAUUUAAUUUCACAAUAGCCCAAAAAGGCAUAACAUAAACUGAGCCAAUAUUUAGACAAUACAGUCUUUAGGAGUUUGUUCAUAGCUCCAUAAAUAGCAGGGGAUAUCAGUAGGCUAGUAUGGACCUUGGGCUGGACCGAAAAUUUAAAUUGGGCUGAAAUAAUUUGGCUGGUUCAAUUCUUUCUCGGGCUUGUCCGAAUUGGACGAAAACCACAGAAUUUCGGGCCUUUCGGGUCGAAUCCCAAAUCCUUGAUUAUAGAUAAUUUAGGUAAUUGAAAAUUCAGGUAAUAGAAAUUGCUAUCUAAUUUACCUCUAAAAACACUACCGCAAAUUCGGGUACACAAUAAUUCAAGUUAAGGUUCAGGUAUUCCCAAUCUAUCCGAAAUUCAGAUAACUCAGCAAUCUGUACAGGCGUGGUGGUGCGCUGGUGCUGACGCCGGCCACCGGGUAGUGGUGCCCUGGUGUGGGAGCUUAGCCGCACAGGGGCUCGGGCACAGGCGCACAUCACAGCCAAGGUCGAGGUCAGGCACAACACAGCCGGGUCCGAGGUCGCCGGUAUGGAAGCUCGGCCAUGCGGGACAGUGAACGGUCGUGCAUCCAGACUGGAUGUCGCGGAGGGUUGCUGGCGGCCGAGCGUCGAGCCUGCGGUCAUGCGGCUGGGGUUCUACUGCUCCGCUCGGGGAUAGUCAACAAGUGGAGUUGAGGGAUUGUGGACUCCUGGACGGGAUUACGAUGGCCUCACGGAGUCACGGGGCUGCUUUGUGCUGGACUGCCCGUAGACACAUAUAGAGUGAAGCGGAAUCAUGAGCGGUUGAGAGAAUGGGUUGGUGAGACUUGCUUGCUUCCCUAGGGAGAUCAGGGGUGGCGUGGUUGUCGUUAGUCUUACAGCGACAGUGAAGGAAGGGAGGACACGAGGCGCACCGACGAGCCAGCGCAGCAAGGAGUGAGAGGGCGCAGAGAGUAGGGAUAUCUUAGGACAGAGGAAGCGCAGGGCUGGGCGGCCACGCGAACUGGCAGUGGAGGCGUCCAUCGGCUUAAGGACGGGAAAGAAGUGGGGACUCACCGGCCGGAAUUGGGGAAGAAGCGGGCGACCUCUAGCCAGGGAGCUCGGCCGCCCGGCGAGAUCCGCCCAGCCACCACGCGGGCGAGCGCACCCUUGAUGCCGCCGAGGGAGGAGGAGAAGGAGUCACUCGGGUAAGCUCAGAACGAGGCAGAGGCGUGCGGCCAGUCGGAGCUCGACGACCACCGGUAGCGAGUGCUGGGGAACUGCUCUGGUUAGAUGGUGCAUUGAAGACGAUGCAGAUGCGAACGAGUUGACAACAGGACCGGUCACGGGCGCUUUUAGAUGGAUGCAGGUGACUCGAUUGAUUUUUUCCCUUUUUUACUAGUUCCUUUUUUUCUUGGUCCCACACAUAAACAAGGACAACAGGACGAGUCACAACGCUUCUAGGAGGCUUUACUAAAAAAACGUUUUUUUUUUUUCUUUUUUUUGUUCUCGUACCCACAUGAAUCGGUGAUGUGUUGUGUCCAUAGUAGCCUAGGGCCUAUAUUGACACAUAUUAUGGGAAAAAAUUUUAAUUCUAAAUGUAUUUUUAUUUGUGGGAUGGAGAGAGUACCAGAGCACAGGAACAAUCAUGAGACUUCAGGUGCUUCAGGACUUCAUGACCAGAUCCGGGGGUCAUUUGCGACGGAAGAACGGUCAUGAGACUUCAGGUGCAACAUGGUCAUGAGGCCAUGUGUGGAAGUUGUGUAUCUUGCGUCGCAACGAAUUGGAAAAUUCCUAUGACCUCAUGACCAUGUUGCACCGUGUGGUAUUAUUGUCAAAAUGUUAAUGGUAUGUGUCAUUCCGAAGAAAAGUAAAUCAUAUUAUUUUAUCUCAAUCAAUUUUUUGUCCACUUGCAAUGCACAGGUAUUUUUGCUAGUUGGAACAAAAAGUACCGAACCUUGUCCAUGAAGAUAUGUUUCACAUCACAUACCAUCAGUUUUGUUUAUAUCACUUAAUUACUUUCAUGCGAUAGAUUGAUUUAAAAUACGCUGUGUACAUAUAUAUGUUUUGCUUUUAUUCCAUCGAUAAAUUGCAUAAGCACUCAGACAUAUACUUCCAAUUUAGACUUGAAAGGGUGCCUCAUCCCAAAAUGACUACUGGUGCUCGUCGGAAUGCGGCUUGACCCUUGGCGGAUUUCGUCUCCCCCUUCCCCCUCUUGGCGGAUUUCCUCCUCCCCCUUCGUCUCCCCCUCCCUCCUCUGGUGGAUUUUCUCCUCCCCCUCCCCCUCCCCCUCCACCUCCCCCAGGGCAUUCAAAGGUACAAAAGCAUUUUUUGAAAAUACGGACAUUGCCCUUGCAGUAUCCGCUAGUGCCAAGCCCAUGUUGAGUACACGAGUUCGCACAGUUCUUAUUGCUCCGGCAUAAGCCUUGGUAAGAAGUAUUAUGCCUUGAGCAGAUUGUUGCCUCCGCACCUGCGUACAAUCAUAAAUCACCAAGUAGUUCGAAGCAUAAUAACAACAUGUACUCUUGAAUGUAGCUUCAAAGUAAUCGCUCCAUGAUAUAUUGUAGAGGUAUAUGUGUAAUUAAAUGUCGAAUUAGAAGUAGAUCUACUUUGAACCAUGGCAAGGUUGAUUUAGUUACUUACAAUAGGCAACAAGGAGCAAGGCGAGGAUGAAGACACCAGGCACUGCUACAAUCUUGUUGGAUGCCAUGGUUACUUGGUGUGAUGAAAAGAGCAUAUACAUGUUCAAUAUUUAUAGUGAUUGCUUGAUCUGGCCUGUGUAGGUGGCUAUUCAAACUCAAUUCACAAUUUAAGCAUUUCUAGCAGCAUUCGAAAUUUUCCUACAAAUGUAAUCAUUUCUAUCAUGAUCUACCCCCUAUAUCCCUCAUUAAUAAUAAUUAGUUUCCUUAUAUGUGUCAACAUAAUUUGGUAUUUAGAAAACGAUUAGUGUAUUCCAUUUAUAUGAUCUCUGUAAGGGUAGGUAUUAAUUGAAUCUAUGUGCGCUACAAUCAUUUUCAUUUUCUUAAUCUAUUCUAAAAUCAGAGAAAUGUUUGCAUUUCUAGAUGGAGUAGUUUUUUUCAGUGGCUGCUGGUGUAGUUACAUUCAGGCGUAUAUAUCUAUUUGUGUAUCCAAUCCAUCUACACCCCUAGCAGCAUUGCUUUGGGUUCAAGAAAUAGUGAUGUUACUCAUUAGUUUUCACUUCACUUUCAUGGGGACUGUGAGGCGCACAACCAUCGGUAUCAGUAUUAACUAACCAUUAUUUGGAAUCCUUCAGGCAACACCAAACUAGAGGUGUGCCCUAGUAAUGCUGUACUUACACCCUCUCAAGUUGGGUGAACUCUGAUUUUCUAACACUAGAGCAGACGCUAAAUGCAUAUAUAGAGGCCUGUCGCAGCUCUUAUCUGCUAAGAGUAUCUCUCUUUCAUCCUUUGCUUGGUUUCAGUCUCUAGCCCCCACAGAUAAGGCUCGGGAACUUAGUUUUUUCUAGUUGGCUUCUCCUUAGUCCACCUCUGAGGUACUUUUAGUAUUCUGGAUGGCUAUCUCUAUAUAUCUAUAUCGAUAACUAUGUCUUUCUAAAUCUCUCUAUCUAUAUCUAAUCUAUUCGCCCCUCCUUCUUAGAAUAUAUAGUUAUGUUAGUUGUUUAAAAUUUUGUCAAAUGCAACUAUUUUUGAGUAUCUAAAGAAUUGAAAUUACGAACAGGCUAAAUUCAUGCACUUUAUUUGUGUGCACAAUUAGUGGAAAUAGAUGCUAGUAUCCACAUAAUAAAGUAUCAUUUUCACUAUCUCUUUAUCUAUCUGUCUAUUUGUCUGUCUAUGUAUCUAUGUAUCUUUGUAUCUAUAUGUCUGUCUAUAUAUCUAUGUAUCUAUCUACCUAUCUAUCUGUCUGUCUAUCUAUCAAUCUAUCUAUAUCUCACUUUUAAACAGGCCUAACCUUUCUUUAGAGAAAUAACUAAUAUCUAGAAAUUAAAGUGGCCAAAAGACAUUCACUGCAUGUACAUUUUACUUACUUAGGAAAUGGUGAUCUUGUUGCACUCAUCAGUUUAAGGUUUAGGGCCUGUUUGGAUAGCUCCCUCGGUUUACCACACAGUAGCUAUGGUGAGCUAAAAGCACGGCGAGCAUUUUGCUCGCCAUAGAUUACUGAAAGCUGAAGCAAAACUUGUAGCAUGCAAGACUUACGACGUGAUUAGGAAGCCAUCCAGACAGAGAGCUAAGUUUAAUUUUUGCGGUCAGUCGUGAAAGCAAUCCAAACAGAACCUUAGGCUUUCUAGGCUAGGUCUGUCAUGAGAAACACACAGGCCAUAUUAGAACAAAAAGUACUGGGGUCUUGUCUUGUCCAUGAAGAAGUUCGUGGAUCAUGCAAAUACUAUUAGUUUUGUUCAUAAUAUAUACUUAAUUACUUUCACACGAUUGCUUAAAACAUGCAUGUGUACAUAUAAAUGCGUUUCUCUUAUUUCAUCAAUCAACAUUUUUUAGAUAAUGGAAACAAAAGGUUCCAGUUUCAUUGAUGAAACAAAAGGUUCCAGUUCCAAUUCGGGCAUAACAUUCAAUUGGACAGUUCCAAUUCGGGCAUGCUAGAUGGCGGCUCAUCUCCAGAUGACAACAACUUCUGCCCGCUGGAUAGCGGCUUGACUCCUGGCAGAUUGCUUCGUCCUUGCCUUGGACAUUCAAAGUUACAUGUGCAUACUCUGGUAGGUGGUCUUCUGCCCUUGCAGAACCCGCUGGUGCCGAUGCCAAAAUGAAUGCACGAGUCUCCACAGUCCUUAUCACUUUGGCAUAAGCUAAGGUAAAAUGGAUUAGGCCUGGUGCAUAUCUUUGCCUCCGCACCUACGUACAAUCAUAAAUCGAUGGAUAGUUAGAACCAUAUACACCACAUAUUUUCCUUCAUGGAGCUCGAACUUGAUAAGUGAGAGAAGGUUUGUUUUAGUUACUUACAAUAGACCACGAGGAGCAAGGCCUGGAUGAAGAUAGUAGGAACCACUACGUCCUUACUGAAUGCCAUAUGGUUAUUUGGUGUGAGAAAAAUAUCAUAGACAUUUUCAAUAUUUAUAAUGGUUUCUUGGACCUCUGGGGUACAUUCAGUGUUCUAGAUAGCUAUCUCAACCUCUAUCUCUAUCUAGAUCUAGAUCUAUCUAUCUAUAGGUAAUCUACUCUCUCCGUCUCAAUUAAAAUAUAAACUAGAUAGAGUGACAUCUAGACUGUCCAGACUAGGACAACAAUUUUCAUGUCAGCCUUGCUUUCGGUUAAAAAGGCAGUGGUGUUAAUGUUGCCCAUUUGGCAUUUGCUCACUUCACUUUCAUGGGGAUUGUGAAGUGCGCACAACCAUCGGUAUGAGUUAACUGACCGCAAUUUGGAAUCCAUAAAUGGUUUCGGGUUGUUCGUCAAGGGAAGCCGUGUCAAUCCCAAAUGCCUCAGUUUUGCACCAUAGUAUGUUGUCGAGAACAUUCAGAGAUCAACCGGGUCCCAAUUUUAUCCUGUACUUCCAACCUCUCAAGUUGGGUGUGAAUUUAGACUUUGGAGUCCUGACGUAUAAUUGCAUAUAGUGCCCUGUCGCAUUUUCCAUUAGCUGCUAGCCAUUUCGUCAUUCACUUAAUUUGGUUUCAGUCUAGACCCAUAGAUAAGGCUCAUGAACCUACUUUUACCUGCAAUUGUUUCAGCCGCCAACUUCCACAGCAGCUGCAUCAUGAUUCAUGUAUGUGCAUUCUUCGUUGUACUUAGCUUGGAGCAAGCUUAUCUGUCGCUCUUGCCUUCAGUUCUUGAUGCAGUCGCUCUUCAGGUCUAAAGAGAGUCUAUGCAUCGUCAGUACUUCGUCUUUACCAUGUCAGUCUACAAACGCUAGUUCCUCUUGCUCUCUCUAACAUUACUCGAUGAAGCAAAUAGUAGGAGCAGUAGCAAGUCUCAAAUGAAAGGCCAAGGAACAGUGAAAAAAGUUACUAGCUCUGUCCCUUCGGUUCUUUUGAGCACGUCCCUUAGAAACUUUACGUUCGAGUUAACGAGUUAUUUUUCUAUUCACAUCACUUAAUUACUAAUAAUAUUUUUUUGGGUUGCAAAUAAUUUUAUUGCGACAUGUCAGCAGUAAAAUUGAUCGGUCUCUUUUAUUCCAUCGUGACUAGAGUAGUAAAACUUAGGUGUAUAAAUAAUUACAUCCAGACCAGACCCCGAGUAGUAAAAUUUACCGCUAGAAGUCUAUAAUGGAAUUAUUUACAUAGCAAAAUGAUACUAUUAGUAAUAAAAAUAGUCUGGCCACAUACCAGAUAUGUCGGUGACUGUCACAUCUCAUUUUUCUAUGCACCUGUCUGGAUGAAACUAUUUAUAUGGCCAAAUGUUACUAUUUAUAAUAAAAAUUCCCUUGUCAAAAUACUGGAUACCUCGUUAAUAAAAAUGAUUCUAUCUAGAUAUGUGAGCAAUAAGUUUUUAUGUGAUAAUCAAUGUGGCGUCCCGUGCCCAAAUGAGGUAAAUUUUAUUACUAAUAGUAUUUAUUUGGUCUGUAAAUAAUUUUAUUGUGCCAUGGUGAUUAUGAUAGGAAAAUUUACCUCUAACAAUCCAAAAAUGAAUUGUUUACAUAGUAAAAUGAUACUAUUAGUAAUAAAAUAGUCUCGAUGUAGAUCGGAUGUCGUGUUGUUUAUCAUAGGCAAAUUUGUUGAACACUGGUGUGCACAGAAUUAUUAGCAAUAAAAAUUAUACUAUCAGUAAUGAAAAAUAACCUCAUCCGAUCAUAGGAUGCCCGUAGCUUGUCACAUACAAAUUUGUUGCACACCGAUCCAGAUAGAAUUAUUUAUAGGAAUAGAUAAUAUUAUUAAUAAUAAAAAAUAAUCUCCUCUAGAUACCAGAUGCCCGUAUAUUAUCAUUAGCAAAUUUACUACACUUCAAUUUAGACAGAAUUAUUUUUAGACACAAAUGAUACUAUGAGUAAUAAAAAUUACCUCGACCGAAAACUGGACACCCCAGUGAUUAAUACAAGCAAAUUUACCGUACAAAGGUUAGGAUGGAAUUGUUUAUAUAACAAACUGAAACUACUACUAAUAAAAAAUAACCUUAUCCGGAUACCAGAUGCCAAAGUGAUAAUCAACCCAAAUUUACUGUACAAAGAUGUCGACAAAAUUAUUUAUAGACUAAAAUAAUAUUAUUAGUAAUAAAAUUUAUCUCAUCUGGAUACCGAAUAGUAUGGUGAUUAUGAUAGGUAAAUUUACCGUUACUAGUCUAGAAUAGAAUUAUUUACAUAGCAAAAUGAUACUAUUAGUAAUAAAAUAGUUUGGACAGAGACCAAACAUGCCGGCGACAAUCACAUCCCAUUUUUCUUAUAUGUUAUGUUUCAGCAAUCAUGAAAAAUAUUUUAUUAACUCAUGUAUUGAUAUUGAUUCUAUAAUCAUAAGAAGUCUAUUUUCAUAAUAAAGAAAUAUUGUUAGUUUAUUGCAUAUACACAAUUCCUUGAUAAAUAAUUUCAAACUUCUUGAUUAUUGGGAGGUUAGUGUAGACCAAAAAUAACUAUACCUAUAUGGUCUUUAAUAUUCCUAUUAAGGUUAGCACUGCUACCUAUCUUAGAUUUCACAUCAAGCUCUUCCGCUUAUGUUAAGUGAGAUGGUAAAAGUUUUCAAUAUUAAUUAUAUGCCAUUGUAGUACUUAAGAGUACGGUCGAUGGCCUAAAUUCUUACUUUCAAUAUUUUUUCAACAAAAAGAAAGUUAAUAAAAGAUACAUUAAGCACCAAAAUUUAAGUUUAAACUUGAAGAUAAAAAACAUAUAGCAACUAAUAAGGUGAAAAUUUGAAAAAAAAAAUCGAGGUUCACAUAGUCACAAGAUAUUGGUCGGAACAAGGCCCACCAAAACCUAUUCGUUGGUCUGAAAAGCCAUGACUGAAAAUAUUGUUCGCUGAUUUAUCGUGAGAGAAAAACACUGUUGGCUGGCAGAAAAAGUACGGCUUAUAAGACAAGCGAACGGUGGGCCAUGGCGGUGCUCCGCAAAGGGAAAAAAUUAGAUCUAGUUGAAAAAAAAACAUAUAGAUAAAUUUAUCAUAUGUACUCCCUCUGUUCCAUUAAAAGUGAUGUUUUGGACUCUAUGUCAUCUUGUUUGACCGCUCGUCUUAUUCAAAAUUUUUAUAUAAAUAUUAUCUAUUUUAUUAUGACUUAUUUUAUCAUAGAUACUUUAACAAUGGUUUAUUUAUUUUAUAAUUUGCAAAAACAAUUGAAUAAAAUGAGUGGUCGUACCUAAAAGUUAAAAACGUUACUUUUGACGUCCGAGUAACUAUAAAACAUUUAUUAUGCCAAAUAAAGAUAAAACAUUAAAAUUAAUAUAAGAAAUUUUUAUAUUAAUUUUAUUGGACAGCAUGUUUACAUGUUUACAACCUGGUCCCUCUAGAUGAUGACACCCAGGCCUUGGACAACAUGUUUAUGUCUUACAAAGCUUAAAAAUAGCAGUCCCUGCUGCCUAAAUGGCCGACUAGGACAGCAAUUUUCAUGGCAGUGGCAGCCUUGCUUUGGGUUAAAGAAACAGUGAUGCCGACGUAGCCUGUUUUCUUUCACCUCACUUUCAUGGGGAUUGUGAAGCGCACAACCAUCGAUUUCAGUUAACUAACCGCAGUUUGGAAUCCAUAAUUGGUGUCCGUGGGGCAAAUCCAAAGCAGAGGCGUGUCAAUCCCAAACGCCUGCCUCUACUGUUCUCUGGGCCCUGAAUUUCUGACUCUGCAUUUGUUGUAUAAGCUUCAGAAGCUGCUGCAUCAUGAUUCAUGCAUGUGCAUUCUUGUUGUACGAGCAAGUAUUAUAAUACAGCCAGCUGCUGGCUGUAAGACUUUUUUACAGCCUUCUUGCAGCCCACUCGUAUAAUAGUUAGUUCAUCAGUAUUAAUACAUAGCCUACUUGUCUGUCUCACAGACUUUUUUGGUUUUUGUGUCUGAGCCGGCUGUAAGCUUACAGCCCGCUUUUACUCUCUCUCCUCCACCUCAGCAUUUAGCUGGCUUACAGCCUACUAUAAUACUUGCUCUACUUGGAGCAAGCUUAUCUCCUGCUCUUCAGUUCUUGAUGCAGCCGCUCUUCAGGACAUCAGGUGUGGUCAGAACUAGUCCAUGCAUCUUCAGUGCUUCGUCUUUAUCGUGUGGAACAAAUAGGAGGAGCAGUAGCAGGUUUCAAAAAAAAAAGGGGGAGGAACAAUGAAAAAAUAAGUUAAUAGCUCUGUUCAUCGGCUCUUUUGAGAACGUCCGAGCAACUUUACAUUGGAGUUAGCUGAGUUAUCCUUUCCCAAGAGCAAGUUUAGAGUCUUGGACACACCCAUGCUACUCCUGAAAUAUUCCUACUCAGUUUAGUUAACCUCCUGAGAUCUUGAAUGAUUGAACACAGCACCGUUUCAGGUGCAAGAUUCACAAGGAAACAGAACAGCUCGUGUCUUCGCUCAUAUUCUCUGUAAGUACAUACAAAGUUCUCAGAUGAAGAAGUUGAAGAGAUUGGAAGUCUCCAGUUUAACCGUGUCAUACAUUACAAAAUUGCUCUGAUGAGCAUCACCAGAGCUGUUCCCUCAGAUCCUCACAUUCUCCUCUAUCAUAUGCAUCAAAGCAUUCAAGCUCAGCUCAGCUCAGCUCUCCAAUUAUUCAGCGCCAUCAAGCCUGAGCAGUGCUUUCAAUACAUCUCCUUACUCAUACGGAUUCUAAUAUCUACUAACAUAUAUAUAUAGACUCGCUUGAUUAAUAAGGAACUGUAAGUAAACUAGCUACUAACGAUUAACCCAUUUUCAUGUUGCAACUCCUCGGAUCCCUUCACAUGACGGUGCAAGAAUUGGCGUUCUCGUCGUUGAACAUCUCGCCGUAGGCGUCCCGCGGCGGCGAGAAGGCGCUCCUCUGCGGCGGCGCGCUGUAGUAGUAAUCCUCCGACGAAGAAGACGGCUGGUACUGGUACUGGUAGCUGUACGGCGCCGGCUGCGGACGGCUGUAGUAGUACGGCUCGGGCUCGUACGCCGGCGACCGGUUGUAGUUGCUGUUGUAGUAGGACGGCGUGUAGUGCUCGUCGAUGUAACCCUGCGACGGCCCCGGCCUCGCCAUCGGCAUCGGCAUCGGCAUCGGCGCCGGCGCCGGCGCUGGUGACGGGGCGGGAGCGUAGUAGGACGCGCUCACGCUCGGCCGCACCUGGUUGUAGCUCAUCACUGCCGGCGGCGGCAUGCGGUGCACGUGGCCCCCGCCGACGCCUCGGUCGUACUCUAGAGUCACUCUGGCGUCCACCGGCUGCCUAUCCUGCAUCUCCGGCUGCUGCAUCGGUUUCGCUUUCCCCUUCGCCUCGCUGGGUCCCUGCUGCGCCGGCGCCGGUGCCGGUGCCGCUGCCGCCGCGGUGUCAUCGCCGGUCUCAUCGGCGCUGGCAUUUUCUUUGCUGUCCUGAGCCGGAUUCGGGGCCUCGCCGGUGCUCUGCUUGGGCUCCCGAGGGUUGCUCGGUUCUGCCGCGGCGGCCUCGGCCGUGUCGGCGCCGCCCUUCUCGGCAGGUUCGUUGGGUUUGCUCGGCUCGUCAGGCUGGUUGUUCUUGGGCUCCUGCGUUUGGCUCUCAGCUGCUGGUGGUGGUGGUGGUGGCGGCGGCUGCUCCGGCAACAGCUCCGCCUGCUUGCCGGACUUGCGCAGCUUGGAGACCAGCAUGUAGGGGUCGAGCUUCGUCGAGAUCGUCGCCACGACCUUGUUGCUCCGGGCAUCGAUUUCGCAUCGGUACACGCCUUCAACAAGAUCAAAAGAACACAAAUUCAGUACGGUCAGCAUGGGCACAUAAGGUCCAUCUUCACCGAUCAAAAUAAAAUUGUGCUAGACUUUCAUUGAUUGUUUUUUAGUUUGGUAUAUAGUACAAAGAAAAAGAGGCAAUUGCUUGCAAACAAAGGCACCUAACAUGCAUGUACUAGACUACCUACUAAUGCUCAGUGUUCAGUGUUGCAAUCGAAGACGCAAAAUUUUGCAGCAUCAGGACUUUGUGUAAGCAAGGCCUUUGACAAUGCGAAGCUACGUGCUGGUAAAUUGAAAGACCUGUUCGAUACCGUUAUGCAAUUCGAGGGGCGAAAUUAAACAAGAGCCUACCAUUGAUGUUCUGGAGCACUUUCUUCACCUUCUUCUUGCAUCCUUGGCAGUGAAUGGACACCCUCAGCACCACAACCUGAAACAGGACACACAGUCACAAACGGAUUCAGAACAAGAAUCGAAAUCAGUGACUGAAACAGGAACAGGAAUCAGACUGAAGAACAGAAAUUGCUCUGGAAACAUCUACUGGAACUGGAAUCCGAUCAGGCUCAGGGAGACAGAUUAAAGAGAGAAGGGAGAGAAUAUUGGUACCUGGCACUCUAUAGGCUCUGAGGCCAUGAGAGCGAGGUGAGGAAGGUGCUUUGCAGGAGGCAGGAGAGGAGGGGAAAGUGUGCCCGUUGAGUCGUGAACUGUGGGGGAAGUGCGGAGGGCGAUCUUUAUACCCCGCCGCACUAGUUUAGUUAGCAACAAGUGAAAGGAAUCGAAGCAACCGCCAUACAGACAAGGAAUAGUACGUGCUGAAUUGAAUAUCUUUGGAGAGCUGAUCAUCAGCUAGGCUUUACAUAUGGGCGCAGCGCAGAGCGCACCACGCCCUUGGAGGGAGGCUUUGGAAGGAGGUAAAGAUGGAUGUGAGGGAGGCUGUGACAGUGAAAGCAAGCGUAUGGAGGUGGCGAUCCAUGGAUGGUUCAGUGCUAGUCCUAGUCGUCGUCUUCCUUCCUUCUUUUCAGAGCUCAUCAUGAGCUGUACUACAAUAAUACUGUGCAUGCAGCAGCUGAGAUUUUCAUUUUAGGUGAUGAUGGCAACUAAAGCGGCUUUUUGCAGGGAGAGACUGAGGGAGGGAGGGAGAAUUACACUUGAACAUCGAUCCCUUUUGCUAAUUGUUGCUGUCUUGCUGAGCUGAGCUACCUUUAGUACUAGUAGAGAGAUUUUCCUGCUGUGCUGUUCUUCCUUCUCUUUUGUUUUUCAUAAGACUAAGCAGAGGAGGUCAUUGGGUAACAUUUUAGAUAUGUGCAGCCUGUGGAGUUGUGGACAGACCAACAGUCAGAUUCAUCUGAUUCUCGUGUGAUUUGGAUGCUUAUGUGUAGAACAAGAUUAGUAGAUAUGUGUGCCCAUUUAGAUAUAUAUACUCACAAAGAUUUCCCCGGAGGAACAAAUGAAAAGGGUAAUGUUCAGAGUUUCAGACAAAGACAAGUUCACAUGCAAUAUUUUCGUGGUAUGCAGCGGUCUAAUUAGUUUGCCAUCAUAUAAACCGCUAACCAUAUUCUAUGUUAUCCCUCAGCCUGUUGACGCAUGCUAUUGCCUUCAAAGAUUACAAUCAAAAAAGAAAGUAAAAAUGUUCAAAACAAAAGAGAAAGUAAAACAAAAAUAUGCGUCCCUGUCCCUUAUACGCUUUUAACACCUUUUUCUCAUAUUGCUGUUCGUAGUCAAAGUUUCAAUUGUGAAUGAAACAAGGAAAAGCGAAGUCAACAACAACUCACUGAAGGAGACGGCACUACAUUACAACAAUGACGACGUCAAAAUUUGGUUUAUGCUGAUGUUGAAAAGCAUUGUUCGCUGUUUUUUUCGUGAGAACCGAAACGAAAAUGUUUCAGAAAACAGUCGAUAGCCUAGCCCCUGCCAUGGCUAGCUGCUUGUUGGUGUCUUGGGUGAGUGAGAUUCCUUGCCCUCCCAUGGAGUGUUACGGCGUCGCAGGCAACCGGCCAAUGCAUGCAUGCAACCGCGGGUUAGUGGUGGCCAGCCGCCAACAACUCCAUCGUCACGCCAGUCGCCGCCGCCGCCGCCGCCGCCGCCAAACACGAGAAGAAAGAUUGGCGGAUGCAAAUGCAAUAUUUGUUAUUGGUUCGUUGAGUUUAUUUGCACGGCCGGGCGUGCAGAGGAAGAGUUUGUGUUGCCUCGUCACAAAGCGCUCGUGUUGUGUUGUGUCACGCUAGCUUUUUUUCAGUUUUGCAUGGUCGGAGAAGAAAGCAUCGAUUCCACGUUCCAGGAGAAGAAGCCUUUUUUGACAACGCCUGUUAGUUGUCCAUGGCUAGCUCCAAGGCUGGGGCUGUGGCUCUUAGUUAUAUUUUAUAUGUAGAUACGUCUAGCUUUGUUUGAGCCAUGAGCCAUCAUUAAGCGCAAAUUGCAGGUGGUUUGGCCGGCCACAUUAUAUUUGCAAAAGCUGAAUUCUGGAGUGAUCUGGAAUUGGUAUUCCAGUGUUUUUUGCAGGAACGUGGAAGGAGACCUAGAAUACGUACGGCUGUCCGUGAGUGGUUAUGGUCUUAUGGAUGCUUAUUAUAUAUUUGGUCGAGGGGGAAAAAAACUGUUAGGCGAUCACGCACUAGUUAGUUCUGGGUUAUAUUCUGUAUAUGUAUAUGUGGCUAGUGUUGUGGUCUUUUGGAGAUGAAAUCAGUACGUAAUAACGAUUUUUGUACUGAGUGAGGCAGUAGACUUUUGUCUUCCGGCGGCAUGAUAUCAUCGUCACGCUCCGACCGGGCAGAACAAGACGAUAUAUGUCAACGAGAGACGAGAUAAGUAUAUCUAGUUAAAACACGCCGCAUUAUUGCAACGUCAGGAGAUGGUGAUUGGUGAUGCCCAGACCCGUGCAACGAACGAUCCUUUCCUGUUCAUGAAAAGCAUAUAGCUAGACUAGAGGCUCUCUAUCUGAGAUGGAAAGGAAAAGGAGGCUGUCUUGACCCUCACUCACACUGUCCAACGCCGUCGAAAGGCUCUCUCUCUCUCUCUAUCUGAGAUGGAAAGGAAAAGGAGGUUCUUGACCCUCACUCACACUGUCCAACGCCGUCGAAAUUGUAGAAGCAGUUGCCAGUUGGCUAGUUGGAUCAGUCACUUUAACUAUUUCUGCUGCUCCAUGGAAGAAACACGCUCAAACAGCAAAGUGCGUGCCAUGCCAUGUGAGGGCAAAGCAGUUUCCCCAAACAAAAUCAGCGAUCCUCCACCCAGCAGCAUGAACAUGAACAUGCAUGCAUGCUGAUACAAGCAUAUCUCUUCUCUCUGCUGAAUGGUACACGGUCCCUGUUACUGUCACGACUCACGAACAGGGUGACGAUACUUCCAAGAAAGACGCCGGCCGGAUGCCCAGAUCGAUCAAUCAUCCCGCCAUUCCGUGACCGUCGCUGUCGCCGUCGCCGAGUCGAUCUCUCUUCGCUCUCGCGGUGUCGCCUUCCUCCAUCACCAGCACGAGAGCAAAAGCUCCCGAGCAUUAGCUGUUAAAGACGGACGGACGGAGACUGGGAGAGGUACAGUACAGCGACGGCUGCACGCGGCUGCGAAAGCCAAACCAAAGGCCCCCUGAUGGAGCAGUGUGUGUGGGGACGCGCGAUGGUGGAAUGCAAAAGCGACCGUGCCGGGGGCGGGGAGUCGAUCGAGCAAGAGCAAGUCAGCAAGAUCGAUCGAUGGAGCGAAGCCGGCGGGGACGAGUCGACGGAUGGGAAUGGGACGGCCGGCCCUGGCGCCCUCAGUCGGUUCGUCGUCAGCGACGGAUCGGACAGCCGCGCGUUGGCCUUUCUUGCUGGUUACCGCGGUUCUGCGUCGUCGUCGUCGUCUUUAGCUUUUGUCUCCAUCGGACGGCGGUGGAGGAUCGGAAUCGGAAUCGGAGGUAGCUAGUGAGGAAUAUGCAUGCGGCGGCCGUUUGGAUCGCCAUGACGUGGUGCCGCCGCGCCACGCGUUGUGCCGGAACGAACACGGACGGAUCGAAAGGCGGGUGGGCGGGCAACGGCUGGAGAUGGAUCGAAAGGCGGCAGCUAGCGAGCAGUGGAGCCUGCUGCGAGGUGUGAUAAGGACAGACGACCGACAGGGAUGGAUGGAAAGGAGGAAGCCGGCCGGCAGCGGGCAGUGGGGAUCUCGGUCAUCGGAGCACAAUGCAAAAAGAUUCAGACGCACGCACACGUAGCAACAACCACGACAUGCAGAUCGACGAGAAGCGCCCGCAGCGAGCGCCGGUUUUGGCAGCAGCAGCAGCAAAGAAGAAGAAGAAGAAGACACGGACGUUACGCUAGCUGCCGGCUGCCGCUCUCAAGAAAAUAAAAGGCAGGACUGGUUACCCCAAAACCGCGUUCCUUUCUUCUUCCACUAUACUUGUUUAGUUCUUAAAAAAAUUUAUAAAAUUUUUCAGAUUUCCCGUCACAUCGGAUCUUUAGAUGCAUGUAUGGAGUAUUAAAUAUAGAUAAAAAUAAAAACUAAUUGCACAGUUUGAUCGGAAUUGAUGAGACGAUUCUUUUGAGCCUAGUUAGUCCAUAAUUAGAUAAUAUUUAUCAAAUAUAAACGAAACUGUUGCAGUGUCGAUUUUCUAAAAUUUUUUUUUAGAACUAAACAAGAUUCAGAAUCAGAAAGCGCGAAAAAUAAAGGGGAACGCCGAGCUGAUAGCCCUUCGGCGCGAGUUGUUCGGCCCAUGCACAGACCAGUCCGGUCCGUUGAUUGGCCCAGCAGGCCUACAAUCGUUUAGGCCCAAGUGUAUCUGACGGAGCGUGGGGGCGCCAGGUAAACUAUGUUGUACAGUUUCUCUCAAAAAAAAGAAAAAAGAAAGAUAAGUCACUUAAUUUGUUAUUAGUGCCACAUUGUCUGCAAAAUCGUGUGCGCCGUAGCUAAUAAACAAAGAUAGUGAUGAUACGAUCACCGCGUGGCAUGCGCGGAGAGCACGAACAAAAUUCAGACAAGGAAAAACAAAAUACCGCCUAAAAUAGGCUGGUGUACGAUAUUGCAUAAUUGCGAUUCAGCCCAGAAUCCAUAUGAAAUACAGCCUAUAUUAGGCCGGCGUACGAUAUGUGCGCCCAGCUUUUUUGUUUCUCUUUUACCGGGAUUUCAAACCAUAGUAGUCUUUUCGUUUUACUAGGAUUUUUCAAGCAAAAUGAUUUUUCAUUUAACUAUAUACAUUAUUAUAAAAAUGCUAAUAUAUGCUCCGAAGAUUGGAGGGACACAGCAUAGUGAUUUUCUAUUUAAUAACUCGUAUAUACACUAGAAUAGGCUCAAACAUGUAUCUGCUCAUAGUGAUUUUUCAAUUAACUCAUAUACUAAAAUAGGCUAGUCUAUAUACUUCCUCUGUCUCUAUUUAAUUAUCGUCGUCGAUGUGCGUACCAGGACUCGAUUUGUAAAAAAUAUGUGCAAUAUUUAUAUCUUUAAAUAAAUUUAUUAAAAACUAAAUUUAAAUAUCUUUCUAAUGAUAUUAAUUAUGUACCGUAAAUAUUAAUAUUUUUAAUAUAUAUUUAAUUAAAGUUGUUUAUCGAGAAGUGUAAAUGACAGAUAUUUAUCUGGGGCGGAGGGAAAACUCUAAGAGUGGAGAGAUACAAGAGCAAAGAAAGACUAAUUGACCAAAUUUUGGGAAGAAAAUUUGACUCUUCAAUAUUAGAGCAACUUCAAGAUAUUAGCCAAAAAUAGACUUCAUUAUCCAUGAUUUAGCCAUCUUCUAAAAUAAAAUCUCUUAAAAGAAACAUGGAUUCUCCAAUAGCCUUAGUAAAAUUCCUAUUUUCAUACUUAAAACUUGCAAUGUCAUCUACUAUUCAUUUUGGUUCCACCAAUCAAAUCAAACUAGAUGUUCACUAGAGCCUUAUGUAAUCAGGCGAGAGAGCUGAUAGCGAGCGCCCCUGGCUUGCUUUUUCUGCUAGCAGAAAAGUUAGGAUAGUCUAUUUGGUAUUUUGAACACUCAGAUAACAUAUCUGUUGGAGACUAUUUGGUAUUUUGGAAACCCAGAUAGCAUAUCUUGCUUUAUAUCAUAGAUUGUCUAAAAUGGGCUCGAAAUCAAAAAAUAGUAUCUCUCUUGGAGUUGCUCUUGGAAAUAGAUAUAUAUAGUCGGCUCUUAGAAAUAGAUAUAUAUAGUCUAUAUCGAUGGGCCAAACUAUGAUAAAGUUCAUAUCAUUUUGAUGACAAAAGUAAUGAUGUAACCGUAUCAUACUUGAUUUUAUUUUAGAUCCUAUUUGAUACAACUGUGGGGAGAAGCUGAGUAAGUGGAGGAAAAACAUAGCUCAAGUAAGCGUGUCUAACCCAAUUGGUAUGUUUUUAGUAUAAACGGGAGCUAUGAAGAGAAGUGUGGACAGAAAACGAUGCAAAAUUUGACUUCUAGUUCAGCUUAUCAUAUUAUUAUGGACACAAACUGCUUAAAGGAUGUACAAAAUAGGCACUAGUGUUACUUGAUUCUAUCUAUAACCAUGCUAGGAUACAAAGUAUUGAUGUUAAAGUGUGGAUGGCAUGGCUCGCAUGUGUAUCACUCCACAAACACUAGCAUUACAAAAACAACUUUUUAAACAAACAAAUAGAUAAUACAUAACGAGAGUGUCUACUAGCGAGAGUAGUUGUCAUCUCUUGUGACCAACUUCUCACGAAUUCAAGAAAAAGUCAACCAUGUAUGUUGGCAAGUUUCUCACACAUGUGCGCCAAGAAAUCGAUGGACGAAUUAUAUGUAAGCUGUAAAAGGUUGAUAUAAGACAUCAGAUUUGAGUCAAAAUCAUCGGAAUCAACACAUUCUUUUUUUUCACGGAUACACAAAAAAAAAUUGCAUAUCAUUGUAUUAAGGAGAAUCAAUACGCUUCUAAUUAACGAGCGUUGAAAGAGGUCAACCUAACAUAGCCAAAGCUAAACCCUUCUAGCAAAGCCCUUCAUCAACAUCAAUAAUGAUGCAGAACUUUCCAUGUGGAAAAGACCAACUUGGCAAGUUUAGGGUACGGUGAGAGGAUGUGCUGAGAUGAGAAGGCGAGGAAGAAGUGGCAUGAUAUCCGACUUGCUUUGAUGAUUUUUUAUGGGCGCGCAAAGCCUGCUACUUCCAACGAUUGGACUUCGGCGCGCAUUAUUAGUUGUUUAGCCCAUGCAUGAAUCUGAAUCCAGACCAGUUCGGUCCGUUGAUUGGCCCAGAAGGCCUAUAAUUGGUUUGGCCCAAGUACGAAAACUGUACGCUCUGCAGCUAAUAAACAAUGACCAUGAUAAUAAGAUCGCCGCGUGGGAAGUUUGACGUAAGACGACUCUAGAAAUUGAUUUUUCUGUGGACGGAGUAUGCAAAAUCUUACCUCUAUAAGCAUUUUUGAAGCUAGACCAGCAAAUCCUCGAGAUUAAUAAAGUCAGCGCAAACGUCUCGCUGAUAUCGUGCCAUAUAUUAGAGUUAUUGUUGUUGGUACUGUCUUCUGUAAAUUUGAUUCACCUUAAAGUAGUUUGAUUAAGGACAACUUAAAGCAGAGUUUUCUGUGCUUAUAUAAUGGUUUUCUCUCAGGCUCUGACUACUGCUGCUGUAUGUAGUACAGCUACACCAUACCUAAGUUUGGUAAAAAGCCCUCUUUCUAAUAAAAUCGAUCUCUAAACUACCGGACGGUCGAGUAGAUCGAGGUAGCAGCCGGGGGUAGGAGUAGGACGCGCAGAAAUUAUUGUGUGCAAGAACGAUGCCAGCUAGAGCGGUUGUGUUGUGGGCGGGCCAUGAGCGAGCGAGUGCAACCAGAGGUGGGAGACGUACGAUCGAACGUACCCAGCGACAGCAAGCAGUCAGCAACAUAUAUUCUCUCUCUCGAUCACGUCCCCACGGGCACGGGCCUAUAGCUGUAUCCUGUCCCUGGCUCCGUCCCUGAUCUCCCCCUGUGCACAUCCAUCAUCACUGAGUGAGUGGUCGCUAUUGAUCAGUAAACAGUACAGAGACGGAGUAUCUCAGCUACAGUGACCAGUUCGGUGGACGCCGGCCAGAGAGGCGGCUCUGCCACUGAUCGAUCGACGCCAUGGCUGGUCGCGCGCAGCCAGAAGAGGUUUGAUUGGUUGCUAGCAAGAGUACUGUACUUGCUCUGAACUUGAUUAUUUCAAGUGUUAGCUGGCUUCUAAUUAACAAUUAGUUUCGGAUCAUCUAAUUAAUUUUUAAAAUCUGUUGCAUGCUGUCAUUCCAAUCAUCGAUCCUAAAACUCCCUAAUAAAAACUAAACGAGAUGAUUAUCAUAGCUCAUGCAUGAGACUGAUGAGAAUACAAGCAGAUCAACCCGGCAACAUGUGUAAUGUAAAGAAAACAUGCAUUCUUACGGCCAACAAGCUAGCAAACUCUGGCAAGCAGAUCGAGCAAUGGCUACGAACUAACUCCCUAUGCACAGCACGCGACGCCACGUACAUUACACAAACCGAUCGAUGGGGAGGGGGAUAGAGAUGAGCAAGUAGAUAGACGCAACAAAUUAAUUAGGGUACAAACAAAGGCUAGCCAGCUAGCUAUAUAGGUAGCAGACGAUCGAGAUGAACUGCAGUGAUGCAGCAGCCAGGCAGGAAUUAACAACGAAGACGAUAGAUGGAGGAGAGGUAGGUAGCAGCAGGCAGUACGAUCGAGUAUCUAGGCGUCGAUGACGCGGAAGGCGUCGCGGUUCUUGAUGACGAUGUC